UUGGGCCAAGUAUAUAUUGUCGAUUAUGAAGCCCAAUAGUACAGGAAAUCUAUGGGCCUACUCAACCCAAUGUUCUCAGCCUGAAUCUCACUGCCUAUACAAUGUAUACAUUAGGGUUUCUUCUUCAAUUGCUAUAAGUUCUCGCAAAGCCUCCAAAUCAUUCUCUGCGCAGCCUACUCCGGACUACUAGGGUUUCGAAAGCGAGGGUGAGAAGGAACUUAGACACGGAAUCACCAUGAGGGCCAAGUGGAAGAAGAAGCGCAUGAGGAGGUUGAAGAGGAAGCGCCGAAAGAUGAGGCAGAGAUCCAAGUAGUUCUCUUACCAAUAAAUCGACGUUGUUUUGUGUCUAAUCGGUUUCCGAUUAGAGAGUGGUAGUGUUUUCCAUUUUUACGUUUGGAUUUAAUAUCUGAAAGGUUGGAGUUUUGUGCUGUUGAAUGGGAUUUUGGUACUUCUUAAUGCUACGGUUACGGUAAUUUGUGUUGGAUUU